AUGGGAGAGGGGCAGGGGCUGGAGGAGGGGGUGGGGGGUCUUCUCUCUCUUUCUCUCUCUUUCUCUCUCUCUCUCUCUCUCACCGGGCGCGGCGAAGGCGCACGGGGCUGUGGCUGGCUCUCUCCUCUUCGACCCCCCAAGAGGGGGGGACUGGGGUCCCCGGGGAUCCGGAGAGGGGCGGGAUUAGGGCAGGGGCAGGGACCGGGAAAGGGACAGGGGCAGGGAAAGGGAAAGGGAAAGGGGCAGGACGGGACAGGGGCAGGGAAAGGGGCAGGACAGGGAAAGGGAAAGGGAAAGGGGCAGGACAGGGUCAGGGGCCGGGAAAGGGGCAGGGCAGGAGCAGGGAAAGGGGCAGGACAGGGCAGGGGCCUGGCAAGGGGCAGGGCAGGGACAGGAGCAGGGAAAGGGGCAGGACGGGGCAGGGGCAGGGGCAGGGGCAGGGGCAGGGGCAGGGGCAGGGGAGUGGUUAUCUGUCUCUGUGUCCGAGCAGCCCCCGGGCGCCUUCUCCCGUCCGUGUCCAAGGUGGUGGCGCCGUGCAGUGUCCGCGCCCGGCCGGGGGCUGUUGGAAGUUGGGCUGGAGGCAGAGGCGGCGCUUUCCGCGGGAGGGGAUGGGGAGGGGGCGCCCGGAGGAGGAGGAGGAGGAGGAGGAGGGGAAGGAGAAGGGGAAAGGGAAGGGGAGGGGGCGCCCGGAGGGAGGCACGGCCCGACCAAGAGCGGCUCCGAGCGGAGGCGGUGGCGGAGGAGGAGGAGGAGGAGGAGGAGGAGGAGGAGGUGGAGGAGGAGGAGGGUCCCUGCGCGCCAUCGUCCGUGGGGGAGGCGGGCUUUGGGGAGGGGGCCCUGGGGAGGGGGGCCGAGGCCGCCGGCUGCGCACCGCGUUUCUUGGUCCUUCCUUCCAGAGCAUCCUUCUGUCCGGGGGGGGCUGGGGAGGAGGAGGGAGAAGAAAGGAGAAGAGGAAGAGAAGGUGGAGGAGAAGAUGGAGGAGGAGGAGGGGAAGAAGAAAGACGUGGAGAAGGAGAAGGAAGAGGAGGAGAAGGAGGAGAAGGACGAGGGGAAGGAGGAGGAGAAGGAGGAAGAAGAAGAGGAGAAGGAGGAGGAAGAGGAGGAGGAGAAGGGGGAGGAGAGGAUGGAGGAAGAGGAGGGGAAGGAGGAGGAGGAGGAGGAGGAGAAGGGGGAGAAGAUGGAGGAGGAGGAGGAGAAGGAAGAGGAGGAAGAAGAGAAGAAGGAAGUGGAGAAGGUGAAGGAGGAGGAGAAAGAGGAGCGGGAGAAGAUGGAGGAGGAAGAGGAGCAGGAGGUCACUCCCCACCCCUCGAGAGGAAUGGGGCACGGACUGGGGACCCUUAG
rnacentral:lncRNA from 1 species